UACGAAGGGGGCUAGCGUUGCUCGGAAUCACUGGGCGUAAAGCGCACGUAGGCGGAUUGCUAAGUCAGGGGUGAAAUCCUGGAGCUCAACUCCAGAACUGCCUUUGAUACUGGCGAUCUUGAGUCCGGGAGAGGUGAGUGGAACUCCGAGUGUAGAGGUGAAAUUCGUAGAUAUUCGGAAGAACACCAGUGGCGAAGGCGGCUCACUGGCCCGGUACUGACGCUGAUGUGCGAAAAGCGUGGGGAGCAAACAGGG
rnacentral:rRNA from 1 species